rnacentral:tRNA from 1 species
UGGUUGAGCGCUGGGACGCAAGGGAGGCUGUAACCCUCUCGCUUCGGCUAGCAGAGUUCGAUUCUCUGGCAACCAACCA